rnacentral:lncRNA from 1 species
AAAUACCAAAGACAAUGAGAGAGGACCACUUUUCUUCGAAUUAGUGGGAAAGGAUAGAUAGAUAAUUAUGAGCAUGUUUUAAUAAAACGGCACAUAAAAGAGAAGACACGCAGCAUUUACUGACUUGUAGAAUAACGACUUCAGUAGAUUACUACAUCUCCAGCUAAAACAAGGAAACCAUAGCAGCGCAGAUUUUAAACUGAAUGACACUGAACAACAAUUUAAUUGAGUGCUUUAUUUUUCUUUCAGGUGGAAUAGUAAACCAUUGAAGAACUUAUCACCUCAAAAUUGUGUGGCUCAAUUGAGAAUUGCGUGAGGACCUCCUGAGCUUUCUGUCGCCCUUUGAAGCCAUCAUCAUGAUCGUUGAAGCUCAGCAGCACAAGGUCUUUACAAACGUGGAUCGCCUACUGAGGACUACAAAUCCAUCUUCAACGCUACCAUACUAAGGCCAAAUCACUCACACCCAGAGAACCAAACAAGAAGAUCCAAUUGCAAAUCACAAGACUAGGUAAGAGCCACUUAAAUCCAGCCCCAAGGUCUUACAAGGAUAUCAUAGAGGACAAUAAGCUUAAUUAACAUACUUGCUACAAAAUAUGUAAUUGUAAAACGCUAGCAACAAUAGUAAAGCUAUCGAAACAGAAAUUCUGCGCAAGAUCGCAGUAAUGGAUUGACAAGCUAUAUCUAAAUAAACAAAACUCGUGCUCAUGUUUGCUCUGUAAAAUAAUAACAUGAGAUGCGUGCGUUGGAUAAUGAAAUAACUUGGAACGAAUGUUACCUGCAAUAACGGGGUGGUGCAAUGGAAUAAAAGCUUGAGUGCAAGGAAAGCAUACUGUUUAAUAUAGAAUAGAAGGUAAGCCCUGAUAUCAUAAUUUCCAGUGUCUUUGUUUUUUAUGUACUCUGUGAUGUGUGACUGCCAGUUUCAAGUGCUGAAACAUGUUUUAGUAGAAUUCUCUUAAUAGCCCAUAUUACCAAGAUGAAUAUUUGAUGGGAGCAGAUAGUGAUGAACAAUGAGAACCCAGAUUACAAAUUCAUGAUCUUGCUAACGACUGAUUCUACGUGAAGGGGCAUGUGACUACAUGAUUCUAAGUGCAGGAAAAUCGAAUUGAGGAUAUAGGAUAUAAGUAGGAGAAUACCUUCGGGUCACCGUCAUAAAUUGCAAUAUCGUGCCAUGGAUGAAUUGAUUGCUAGCUGGAGUCGGGGCCGCGCUUUAGCCAUGGAUUGUAAGGCAAAGAGAAGAGAAAGCGGGACACAGAGACUAGAGGGGAGAACCCGGGAAAUCCCCGUGCGAUCUCCCCUCCAAACACGAAAAUGAUAAUUUUAUUAAGAUAGUGGUUGACCUGCCAUGCAAGCGCACCUGUCAUGGCAAAGGUCGGAUGACAAAGAUAAUAAACAAGACCUUGGCCUCUUGGCCUUCUGGUCCCGAUAUAUAUCUUAUACAUCAUCCUCAUAAAUAAAUCGAACACCAACACCAGCAUCAUCUCCUUCCUGUCCUUCUCCACCAACAAAUUACACAUAACAUGCUACACCACAGCUCACAUAACCAAUCUUCAGCCAUGUCUACAUCCAGCAACACGUUCAGCGGAUUCUGUAACUGCUUACAACACCACCUGCAGAAAAAAUCUCAAAUCAUCUUCUGCUUUCCGCCAACAACCAAACUUAAAUAUUGCUAAAAUUCCUCAUGAUCGAAGAAAGCAUGGCCGGAAGGGACAGAUCCGCUUAAUAUUUGAGCUAUCGAAACAGAGCCGCGCCACAUCUACAGAACAAAAUUAGAUUUACGCGGAUUAAUGACUUGAUCAAUAACCAAUAGACAGAUAUUCAAUCAGAUCUAGCUUAGGAACGUAAACAAAACACUUAUACAUACCUCUGGAGCUAUCUCCGAGCAAAUCAAGAUCAUGGAGUUCGAGCAUCGAAACGGAUAUCAAGAUAAAGAUCGCAAGGCGAUCUAUAUGAAGCUGCAAUUGAAAAGAUCGAAGGAUGAUCCAUGAAGAGUAGAUCUAUGGAGAAACUAGAGCUUUGCUGAUAAGAUUAGGUAGAUAUGAAAGUUGUGUAUGUGAUUAUUAUAUAGAGG